rnacentral:rRNA from 1 species
AGCAGCCGCGGUAAUUCCAGCUCCAAUAGCGUAUAUUAAAGUUGUUGCAGUUAAAAAGCUCGUGGUUGAAUUUCGGGGUCAGUAGGUUGGUCAUGCCUCCGGUAUGUACUGGUCUCACUGAUUCCUCCUUCCUGAUGAGCCGUAAUGCCAUUAAUUUGGUGUUGCGGGGAAUCUGGACUGUUACUUUGAAAAAAUUAGAGUGUUUAAAGCAGGCUAACGCUUGAAUACAUUAGCAUGGAAUAAUGGAAUAGGACGUUCGAUCCUAUUUUGUUGGUUUCUAGGAUUGACGUAAUGAUUAAUAGGGAUAGUUGGGGGCAUUAGUAUUCAAUUGUCAGAGGUGAAAUUCUUGGAUUUAUUGAAGACUAACUACUGCGAAAGCAUUUGCCAAGGAUGUUUUCAUUAAUCAAGAACGAAAGUUAGGGGAUCGAAGACGAUCAGAUACCGUCGUAG